GGAGAAAGUGAGGAAGAAAAUUACAUUUUCAGAACACUUGAGAGAUUUUGGGAAGUCACUUGCUUUGGGGGAAACAGGAUGGUCCAGAAAACAGAACAAAACAAGAACCAGAAAGGCCUGGCUAAAGCCCAGCUCUGCCUCUUUCUGGUUAUCUGGGAGGCCAGAGGACGUGUCUGGUUAUUACACAGGUGCACACCUGGAGGUGGGAUCCACACAGCUCGGAACAGCUGGAUCUUGCUCAGUCUCUGUCAGGGGAAGAUUCCUCGGAGGACCACACUGUGUCGACCCUCUAUUCCUGCCCAAGGAGGAGGCCCCGCAGUGACAUGGAGGGAGCUGCUUUGCUGA
rnacentral:lncRNA from 1 species